AGCCUCUAAAGUAGCACAAUUUUAUCUGAUAGCUGAACCAAACCUAUAUUUGGAGCCGGGGGGAAAUAAAUGUCAAUGUAGAAACAACCUUCUGGAGUUACUUCCCUCUUAAUGAAGAAAACUGAUAUAUGUACAUAAGAAUAAACAUAGUGACGGGAGCUUAUCUAAAAACAAAAUAUGAAGUUAAAUUUUGAUGUUCGACAUAUUUUGAUAAUUCAAACAAAAGAGUUUUCCGUGGGUCAUUACACAUAGUAACAACAUAAAAUUAUAAUGGUGCCCUGUUUCAUUCAUACCGCAGAUUGCAACCGAAUAUGUAUAAAAACCACAUGCAUGAAGUAUCGGCGUGUCACGUUAACAAUAUCACAAUAGAAACAGCAACCAAAUUUGUAUUACUAUGCCUUUAUUUUAUUCAAUUAAUAUUUUUAAUAGUAUAUGUAUCAAUAUUGAUAUAAAAAGUUCAAUAUCCAGGUAAAAAUUGCAUAAUUCUUCUGAGUUUUUUUUUCUUUUCAAAAUCACGGGGUAGGAACUGUUACACGAGACUCGGUUGUGGAGGAUAUCAUGUUACAGAUUUAGGAUGCUACUGUUACAGUGUUCCUGGAUAACGUUACAGCAUUCGGAGGAUAAUAAUCGCUGUCGGGGUUUUGUUUGCCAAAGAAAUGCCUCCUGUAGAACGCAGAACGUGUGAAUACCAAAGGAAGGUCUGUAGUUCGACUGGUCAUGAGAACAACAACAACGCAAAGCAGAAUUUCCAGUACAAACAGGCAAAAAGAUCAAGGUCGUUCCUUGGACAGAGGAGCAGUUAGCGGCCAUGCGAAGGUCAUUCGCCAAAAAUCUCCGCUGCUUUAGAGUUCCUAACAAGGAGGAAUGCGAACGAGCAAGGAAAAAUGAGAGCCUGUUGCUUUAUCGUGACUGGAAGAACAUCAAAUUUCGUGUCCAUCAUGAAAUACAAAGAUUAAAGAAAAAAAUGAAGUCAGUCUGAAAAAAAAGUUAACAGAAAAAAAAACAUCCGUUAAACUUGCAAUGAAAUCUAACAGACAUACAUUUUCAAAAUGUAAAAAUGUUUAUGUGUUGUUUCUUUUUGACAUAAAGUCCCCAGACACUCGUUCAUGUACAGUAUUGUUUUUGCUGGAUGUUCAUGUUAAAGGCCUAGAUUCACUACUAUAUAAGUGUACCCCCCACCCCAAAUCCAAUAUACAAGUCCCAUCUUAUCUGCUGCUUAUCAGCGAUUAUGUAACAGUAACUGAUUAGAGGGCAAUUAGCACAGCAGGGACCCCAACUAGACCAUGAAGAUGUGUGCAGUGGAGUUGAAAGAAAUUAAUUUUUCUUCAGUGAAUGUGGAAUGAUGAUAAUAAUAACUAUUAUUUUGAUAUUAUAUAGAUGAUAAUAACUAUUACUUUAAUGUUAU